rnacentral:rRNA from 1 species
UAAUACAGAGGCCACGAGCGUUAGUCGGAAUCACUGGGCUUAAAGGGUGCGUAGGCGGGCUUGCAAGCGUCUUGUGAAAGCCCCCGGCUCAACCGGGGAACAGCAGGGCGAACUGCGAGUCUUGAGGCAAGUAGGGGCGGGAAGAACAGUCGGUGGAGCGGUGAAAUGCGUAGAUAUCGACUGGAAUGCCGAUGGUGAAGACGUCCCGCUGGGCUUGUCCUGACGCUGAGGCACGAAAGCGUGGGGAGCAAACAGGAUUAGAUACCCUGGUAGUCCACGCCGUAAACGAUGUAUGCUGGACCGGUGCGGUUUUGACGCCGUAUCGGUCGUAGGAAAACCGUUAAGCAUACCGCCUGGGGAGUACGGUCGCAAGGCUA